rnacentral:rRNA from 1 species
GAAGGCAGUGGCGGCGUGCUAUACAUGCAAGUCGAGCGAAUGGAUUAAGAGCUUGCUCUUAUGAAGUUAGCGGCGGACGGGUGAGUAACACGUGGGUAACCUGCCCAUAAGACUGGGAUAACUCCGGGAAACCGGGGCUAAUACCGGAUAACAUUUUGAACCGCAUGGUUCGAAAUUGAAAGGCGGCUUCGGCUGUCACUUAUGGAUGGACCCGCGUCGCAUUAGCUAGUUGGUGAGGUAACGGCUCACCAAGGCAACGAUGCGUAGCCGACCUGAGAGGGUGAUCGGCCACACUGGGACUGAGACACGGCCCAGACUCCUACGGGAGGCAGCAGUAGGGAAUCUUCCGCAAUGGACGAAAGUCUGACGGAGCAACGCCGCGUGAGUGAUGAAGGCUUUCGGGUCGUAAAACUCUGUUGUUAGGGAAGAACAAGUGCUAGUUGAAUAAGCUGGCACCUUGACGGUACCUAACCAGAAAGCCACGGCUAACUACGUGCCAGCAGCCGCGGUAAUACGUAGGUGGCAAGCGUUAUCCGGAAUUAUUGGGCGUAAAGCGCGCGCAGGUGGUUUCUUAAGUCUGAUGUGAAAGCCCACGGCUCAACCGUGGAGGGUCAUUGGAAACUGGGAGACUUGAGUGCAGAAGAGGAAAGUGGAAUUCCAUGUGUAGCGGUGAAAUGCGUAGAGAUAUGGAGGAACACCAGUGGCGAAGGCGACUUUCUGGUCUGUAACUGACACUGAGGCGCGAAAGCGUGGGGGAGCAAACAGGAUUAGAUACCCUGGUAGUCCACGCCGUAAACGAU